AUUGAACGCUGGCGGCAGGCCUAACACAUGCAAGUCGAGCGAGCGGCGGACGGGUGAGUAAUGUAUGGGGACUGCCCGAUAGAGGGGGAUAACUACUGGAAACGGUGGCUAAUACCGCAUACUAUCGGAUAACCCAUAUGGGAUUAGCUAGUAGGUGGGGUAAAGGCUCACCUAGGCGACGAUCCCUAGCUGGUCUGAGAGGAUGAUAUGACACACUGGGACUGAAACACGGCCCGGACCCCGACGGAGGGAGGAGAGGGGAAUGUUGCACAAUGGGCGCAAGCCUGAUGCAGCCAUGCCGCGUGUAUGAAGAAGGCCUUAGGGUUGGAAAGUACUUUCAGUGGGGAGGCGGUACCCGAAGAAGAAGCACCGGCUAACUCCGUGCCAGCAGCCGCGGUAAUUC
rnacentral:rRNA from 1 species